CAGACGCCGCGGUUAGCGCCAGUCUGUCUCGAAGUACAGAUUCGCCGCCGCGGUCAGCGUCUGUGAGCGCCAGCAGCCGCAACUUUUUGCCGUGUUCUCACACCGACGUCUGAAGCAGCAGCGGCGGGGGGCAGAUCUGUCGUAUCGGUGGGCGUGCAGUGUACUCAGUGGAAACCAUGCGAACAGAAAAACUUAUCGAACAAGUGAAGAAGUACAACUUCUUGUACGAUGCAGAAUAUGAGAAAAUUUGGAAGAGCACCGAAGCAUGGAGGGAUAUAGCUGCCAAACUGGUUCAAAAUGAAAUGACUAUUUCAUCAGUGAAUCAGCUACUACUGACACACAGAUACUUUUCCUCUGGUGAUAUCCUUCUGUCCACUGGAGACCCUACUGAUGCUGACAAGGGAACACCCAGCAGGUUUAUUAAAAGGAUGUAAAUGAUAUUGGACAACAUAUGCACAAGUCGGUUUUGUUUAUUUUGUUUCCUGUAAUAAUUAAAUGAAAAUAAAAUACACAAAUAUAUAUA